GUAGUCAUAUGCUUGUCUCAAAGAUUAAGCCAUGCAAGUGUUGUGCAUUGAAAAUGAACAGAGAAACUGCGAAUGCCUCAGUAUAUCAGUCAUAAUUUCUUUGAUUGUUCCUUUACUACAUGGAUAACCGUGGUAAUUCUAGAGCUAAUACAUGCAAAAAGCUCCGACUUCAGGAAGGAGUGUAUUUAUUAGAUAAAAACCAAUGCAGGCAACUGCUUCACUUGGUGAACCAUAAUAACUGAUCGAAUUGCAUGGCUUCACGCCGACAAUGGUUCAUUCAAAUUUCUGCCCUAUCAACUUUCGAUGGUAGGAUAGUGGCCUACCAUGGUGACAACGGGUAACGGGGAAU
rnacentral:rRNA from 1 species